rnacentral:rRNA from 1 species
GACGAACGCUGGCGGCGUGCCUAAUACAUGCAAGUAGAACGCAGUUGCGAACGGGUGAGUAACGCGUCUGUGACUGCCUCAUAGCGGGGGAUAACUAUUUGAAACGAUAGCUAAUACCGCAUACUGUGAGCUGGACCUGCGUUGUAUUAGGUAGUUGGUUAGGUAAAGGCGCACCAAGGCGACGAUACAUAGCCGACCUGAGAGGGUGAGCGGGCAAAAGUGGACUGGGGAAACGCUCAGAACUCUACGGGAGGGAGCAGGAGGGAAUCUUCGGCAAUGGGCGGAAGUCUGACCGAGCAACGGCGGGGGAGGGAAGAAGGUUUUCGGAGUUUAAAGCUACGUUGAUAGAGAAGCGGUAACUAAAGAGAAAGAGACGGCUAACUACGUGCCAGCAGCCGCGGUAAUAC